rnacentral:rRNA from 1 species
GUGAAGAUGCAGUGUACCCGCGGCAAGACGGAAAGACCCCGUGAACCUUUACUAUAGCUUGACACUGAACAUUGAGCCUUGAUGUGUAGGAUAGGUGGGAGGCUUGGAAGUGUGGACGCCAGUCUGCAUGGAGCCGACCUUGAAAUACCACCCUUUAAUGUUUGAUGUUCUAACGUUGACCCGUGAUCCGGGUUGCGGACAGUGUCUGGUGGGUAGUUUGACUGGGGCGGUCUCCUCCUAAAGAGUAACGGAGGAGCACGAAGGUUGGCUAAUCCUGGUCGGACAUCAGGAGGUUAGUGCAAUGGCAUAAGCCAGCUUGACUGCGAGCGUGACGGCGCGAGCAGGUGCGAAAGCAGGUCAUAGUGAUCCGGUGGUUCUGAAUGGAAGGGCCAUCGCUCAACGGAUAAAAGGUACUCCGGGGAUAACAGGCUGAUACCGCCCAAGAGUUCAUAUCGACGGCGGUGUUUGGCACCUCGAUGUCGGCUCAUCACAUCCUGGGGCUGAAGUAGGUCCCAAGGGUAUGGCUGUUCGCCAUUUAAAGUGGUACGCGAGCUGGGUUUAGAACGUCGUGAGACAGUUCGGUCCCUAUCUGUCGUGGGCGCUGGAGAACUGAGGGGGGCUGCUCCUAGUACGAGAGGACCGGAGUGGACGCAUCACUGGUGUUCGGGUUGUCAUGCCAAUGGCACUGCCCGGUAGCUAAAUGCGGAAGAGAUAAGUGCUGAAAGCAUCUAAGCACGAAACUUGCCCCGAGAUGAGUUCUCCCUGACUCCUUGAGAGUCCUGAAGGAACGUUGAAGACGACGACGUUGAUAGGCCGGGUGUGUAAGCGCAGCGAUGCGUUGAGCUAACCGGUACUAAUGAACCGUGAGGCUUAACCUUACAACGCCGAAGGUGUUU